CGCGACGUGGCUCAAGUAGCAGAGCGCCCCCUGACGAUCUGUGGGGGAGGCGCGGGUGCAAAUCCCGUCGUCGCUA
rnacentral:tRNA from 1 species